rnacentral:tRNA from 1 species
GGGCUGGGGCACAGUGGUAGAGUGCUUGCCUAGCAUGUGUGAGGCACUGGGUUCGAUCCUCAGCACCCCA